AGCUUGCUCUUCUUGGAUGAGUUGCGAACGGGUGAGUAACGCGUAGGUAACCUGCCUUGUAGCGGGGGAUAACUAUUGGAAACGAUAGCUAAUACCGCAUAACAAUGGAUGACACAUGUCAUUUAUUUGAAAGGGGCAAUUGCUCCACUACAAGAUGGACCUGCGUUGUAUUAGCUAGUAGGUGAGGUAAUGGCUCACCUAGGCGACGAUACAUAGCCGACCUGAGAGGGUGAUCGGCCACACUGGGACUGAGACACGGCCCAGACUCCUACGGGAGGCAGCAGUAGGGAAUCUUCGGCAAUGGGGGCAACCCUGACCGAGCAACGCCGCGUGAGUGAAGAAGGUUUUCGGAUCGUAAAGCUCUGUUGUAAGUCAAGAACGGGUGUGAGAGUGGAAAGUUCACACUGUGACGGUAGCUUACCAGAAAGGGACGGCUAACUACGUGCCAGCAGCCGCGGUAAUACGUAGGUCCCGAGCGUUGUCCGGAUUUAUUGGGCGUAAAGCGAGCGCAGGCGGUUUGAUAAGUCUGAAGUUAAAGGCUGUGGCUCAACCAUAGUUCGCUUUGGAAACUGUCAAACUUGAGUGCAGAAGGGGAGAGUGGAAUUCCAUGUGUAGCGGUGAAAUGCGUAGAUAUAUGGAGGAACACCGGUGGCGAAAGCGGCUCUCUGGUCUGUAACUGACGCUGAGGCUCGAAAGCGUGGGGAGCGAACAGGAUUAGAUACCCUGGUAGUCCACGCCGUAAACGAUGAGUGCUAGGUGUUGGAUCCUUUCCGGGAUUCAGUGCCGCAGCUAACGCAUUAAGCACUCCGCCUGGGGAGUACGACCGCAAGGUUGAAACUCAAAGGAAUUGACGGGGGCCCGCACAAGCGGUGGAGCAUGUGGUUUAAUUCGAAGCAACGCGAAGAACCUUACCAGGUCUUGACAUCCCGAUGCUAUUUCUAGAGAUAGAAAGUUACUUCGGUACAUCGGUGACAGGUGGUGCAUGGUUGUCGUCAGCUCGUGUCGUGAGAUGUUGGGUUAAGUCCCGCAACGAGCGCAACCCCUAUUGUUAGUUGCCAUCAUUCAGUUGGGCACUCUAGCGAGACUGCCGGUAAUAAACCGGAGGAAGGUGGGGAUGACGUCAAAUCAUCAUGCCCCUUAUGACCUGGGCUACACACGUGCUACAAUGGUUGGUACAACGAGUUGCGAGUCGGUGACGGCGAGCUAAUCUCUUAAAGCCAAUCUCAGUUCGGAUUGUAGGCUGCAACUCGCCUACAUGAAGUCGGAAUCGCUAGUAAUCGCGGAUCAGCACGCCGCGGU
rnacentral:rRNA from 1 species